GAUGAACGCUGGCGGCGUGCCUAAUACAUGCAAGUCGAGCGAACAGACGAGGAGCUUGCUCCUCUGACGUUAGCGGCGGACGGGUGAGUAACACGUGGAUAACCUACCUAUAAGACUGGGAUAACUUCGGGAAACCGGAGCUAAUACCGGAUAAUAUAUUGAACCGCAUGGUUCAAUAGUGAAAGACGGUUUUGCUGUCACUUAUAGAUGGAUCCGCGCCGCAUUAGCUAGUUGGUAAGGUAACGGCUUACCAAGGCAACGAUGCGUAGCCGGCCUGAGAGGGUGAUCGGCCACACUGGAACUGAGACACGGUCCAGACUCCUACGGGAGGCAGCAGUAGGGAAUCUUCCGCAAUGGGCGAAAGCCUGACGGAGCAACGCCGCGUGAGUGAUGAAGGUCUUCGGAUCGUAAAACUCUGUUAUUAGGGAGGAACAAAUGUGUAAGUAACUAUGCACGUCUUGACGGUACCUAAUCAGAAAGCCACGGCUAACUACGUG
rnacentral:rRNA from 1 species